rnacentral:rRNA from 1 species
AUUGAACGCUGGCGGCAGGCCUAACACAUGCAAGUCGAGCGGAUGAAGGGAGCUUGCUCCUGGAUUCAGCGGCGGACGGGUGAGUAAUGCCUAGGAAUCUGCCUGGUAGUGGGGGAUAACGUCCGGAAACGGGCGCUAAUACCGCAUACGUCCUGAGGGAGAAAGUGGGGGAUCUUCGGACCUCACGCUAUCAGAUGAGCCUAGGUCGGAUUAGCUAGUUGGUGGGGUAAAGGCCUACCAAGGCGACGAUCCGUAACUGGUCUGAGAGGAUGAUCAGUCACAGUGGAACGGAAACAGGGUCCAGCUCACUACGGGAGGCGGCGUGGGGGAAUUGUGAACAAGGGGGGAAGGCUUGACCCAGCCUUGCGGCGGGGGUAAAGAGGGUCUUGGUAUGUUAAAGAAUUUUAAGUGGGGAGGAAGGGAAGUAAGUUAAUACCUUCUUGUUUGAAGUUCACAAAAAAAAAAAGCCCCGGCAAACUCCGUC